rnacentral:rRNA from 1 species
CAAUAGCGUAUAUUAAAGUUGUUGCGGUUAAAAAGCUCGUAGUUGGAUUUCUGUUGAGAGCGGCCGGUCCACCUUUUGGGUGAGUAUCUGGAUUGGUCUCGGCAUCCUCACAACGAAUGUUUCUGCGCUUGAUUGCGUGGUAUAGGCGUUGUGACUUUUACUUUGAGGAAAUUAGAGUGUUCACGGCAGGCAUACGCCUUGAAUAUAUUAGCAUGGAAUAAUACUAUAGGAUUUUGGUUCUAUUUUGUUGGUUUCUAGAGCUGAAAUAAUGAUUAAUAGGGACAAUUGGGGGCAUUCGUAUUGACGAGUCAGAGGUGAAAUUCUUGGAUUUCGUCACGACGAACUACUGCGAAAGCAUUUGCCAAGGAUGUUUUCAUUGAUCAAGAACGAAAGUAAGGGGAUCGAAGACGAUUAGAUACCAU